rnacentral:rRNA from 1 species
AUUAAACGCUGGCGGCAUGCCUUACACAUGCAAGUCGAACGGCAGCACGGGGGCAACCCUGGUGGCGAGUGGCGAACGGGUGAGUAAAGCAUCGGAACGUGCCCUGGAGUGGGGGAUAACGUAGCGAAAGUUACGCUAAUACCGCAUAUUCUGUGAGCAGGAAAGCAGGGGGAUCGCAAGACCUUGCGCUCUGGGAGCGGCCGAUGUCAGAUUAGCUAGUUGGUGAGGUAACGGCUUACCAAGGCGACGAUCUGUAGCGGGUCUGAGAGGAUGAUCCGCCACACUGGAACUGAGACACGGUCUAGACUCCUACGGGAGGCAGCAGUGGGGAAUUUUGGACAAUGGGCGCAAGCCUGAUCCAGCCAUGCCGCGUGCAGGAUGAAGGCCUGGUGUAACUGCUUUUGUACGGUAACGAAAAAGACUCUCUCUAAUACAGGGGUGAAGUGACGGUACCGUAAGGAAUAAG